GAAAUGUGGGCGUAGAACUCAGUCAAUCAUCUUUAAUACACCAAGCUGUUUCAGCUCUGUCAUCACUCAUGUUAAGUCAUCGGUCUAGGAGCAUUCCUGUUGUGCCUUUCUAUUAGUCUGCUUUGGCCACACCUGAAUAUCACUCCCUUGUUAAAUCAGUCUAUCAAAACAGAGAAAAGAAUGCACAUGGUGGACCAGGUCAGCACAAGACCCUAGGGACACAUAGGCACUCGCCUUCCUCAGUCAUUACACCAAGAGAAGCCAUUAAGACGAAAGAGCUGACGCAAACUCCUGCCACUACUGGAAAAGCAGCUUGAAAGACAAGCCUUGAUGACUAAGUGGAAGGUGUGUCAACUAGCUGGUCUGGUAAGUGAGUUCCAAGUGGAGUCUUUCCUAUAAUGUAUGUGACCUUCUCUCCAUACCCCUGGCUGGAUGGACAACAUUAACAUAUCAAUGGGGAGUGUUUUCAAACGUGUGAAAGAGGGUGUCAAGGCUUUGGCAAACUUGUAAGCAAAGGCUGGAGCAUACGCCUAAGUAUGAAUUCUAUUUCUUAAAACAAAAAUAAGUUAUGUGGAAGGACCUGGCACGGUAACUAAUCAGUAAGUGUUUAUUAAAUAUGAUUUGGACUUCUGAGCUGCUCUGAGUCUAGUGCCUCCAUUAGCUUUACCAGCUUGUUUUCCCCCUCUAACUCCCCUUCCAUUUAAAAAGUCUCUUCUAAUUAUUGCCCUUCUGUGGACAUACCUGACUUAAUUACACACUUGUCCCUGUAAAUCCCUGAGGGACGGCCUGAGCUGAUGAGGGUGAUAUGUGAACAUAAUCUGUAAGAAACUGAUAAGUAGUUGCUGACUGAUCGUGUUGACUGACAUAACUUGACACCAGACAUUGAAGGCCACCCUUUGAAGGGCAAGAAAUGGAAGCCAGCCCUGAAUCCAAGGGAAGGAGGGUUCUUCCCCAUUCAAAGGCUGAGACCCAGAAGUUUGGGGAGAAGGGCACUGUUGCAGGCACUGGAGAUAGAGCAAACAACAAAAUGGACAAGAUCUCUGUCCUCAUAGCUCUUACACUAUGGAAACGCUCAGACCUGGACUGCGACCCUGGGUGUCCCAGUUCCGUGGAACCUCCACAAGUUUGGGUCAAAUCCCCAUUCCCCGCCCUGCAGAAUGGUCACUGCCUUCCCGAGGGGACUGUGAAUUCCCAGCCACCCCUCAUUCCAGAAUCUUCCUCCAGAGAAUUCCCAUCAGCACCUCUACUUCUUAGGACUGUUUCUUCAUGUCAGCCUUGGCAUCAUCCCAAACGUGAAAACGAACCCUGGUAUGGUGCAGCGUUGAGAUAACCACCCAAGCCAGGCAGCCUCACACUACCGAGCAUGAAGUACCUCAGCUGAACCAACGUGGAGACGAAGGAGGACUAGACAUUAAAAAGCCCUUGUCUUGACAGCAUUUUGACGAUCCUGUCGUAUUACAUGGGUUUCCCUUCUCAGCCCUUCUCUUCCCUGACACUUUAAAAGGGAACAAUUCUUUUCAUAUUGUCUUUUAUGCAGAAUGUGACCCUAAAAAUUAAUCUUACAAACCAGAAUACUUUUGAAAAGAAGGCACCAAAAGCAAUUAAAGCUAUAGAUAGAUAUAUAGACAUAGGCAUAGAUAUAUGAAGUCUUCACUUGAUGGCCAAACUGGUUUAUUUAAACUAUUUACAAUAAUUCUUUACAAAAACCAUUUUCAAAAAUAAAAUUAUCUUAAAAUAGUACGUAUCUGUGCACAGUAAGCAGAAUGUGAAAAAGAAAAACUUCCUUGAUCACAUGAGCAUUAAAAAAAUAACAUAAACAUAAGCAGAAUAAUUACUGCAUGAUUUAAACAGUAUUUUAGACAUACUCAUCUCCAGAUUUGUGUCACUAGUAUUUUUCUGAAGAAUGCAGUUUUUCAGUAUGGUUGGUUAUUUUUGAUGCUUUCAUAAAACUGUCAGAAAUCUUCUUCAAAGUUGCACUUAGUGUUAAGAAAAUUGAAAGUAUUGAGAAAAUAGUAUCUCUGCAGAUGCCGAAGUACUUGGUAAGCUCAGAGCAAAUUCUGCUGUGUGAAGGGUAUUUUCAAUUCAAAUGUUCUGUACCUCACUACUUAAAUAAUCCAGCUCUAACAGCAUCACAGACACAGUCUCUUUUCCUCUGUUCAGAGCGCAUUUACUCAACAAGCCAGAACUUGUCAAAUAAGUUACCUCUGUUUAUAAUUCUUUUGAACAUCUCACCACAGUCAGAUUAAGGAAAAUGGAAGGCCUCAGUCUAACUCUACUUAGGUUAGAAAUACAAAUGUACUAAAUUAAAAAAACAAGUUCUAACAAAAGAAUCUUCCCCCAAGUUGACAUAAUUCUAAAGUAUUAGUUUACAGAAUUCCAAAAUUAAAUCUUGUACACAUGUGAGCAACUGUUGUUCUUAAAUGUAUCCAGUUAUCCUCUUCCUUUUUCAAUAAUU